GAUAUUUCCAUUUCUAGUUUCACAACAAAAGCACAAAAACUAAUUAACUUCUGAAAGAUCCCCAAAAUUACUGAGAUCCUAAUUAUAUCUUUACAUAUCUGUGUGUAUAUAUAACAACACAAGAUUUUGACGGGAUGACACCAAAGAUAAAGAAAUAAAUAGUAAUUGAAGAUGAACUCAAACCUAUUCCAAAACUGAUGCAGUA
rnacentral:lncRNA from 1 species